CUCGACUACCAAGAUGGCGGCCCCCAGGAGCUGUGCCCUAUGGAGCUAUUGCGGUCGUGGGUGGUCGUGGGCGAUGCGGGGCUGCCAGCUCCUCGGGCUUCGUAGCUCUUGGCCCGGGGCCCCACUAAGUGCUCGGCUCUUGUCCCAAGAGAAGCGGGCAACGGAAACGCACUUCGGGUUUGAGACUGUGUCGGAAGAAGAGAAGGGAGGCAAAGCCAGGCGCGAUGGUUCACACCUGUAAUCCCAGCACUUUGGGAGGCCGAGGUAGGCACUUGAAGUCAGGAGUUUGAGACCAGCCUGGCCAACAUGGUGAAACCUCAUCUCUACUAAAAAUACAAAAAAAAAUUAGCCAAGCAUGGUGGUGCAUGCCUGUAAUCACAGCUAAUCAGGAGGCUGAGGCAGGCGAAUUGCUUGAAGCUGGGAGGUGGAGAUUGCAGUGAGCUGAGAUUGUGCCACUGCACACUAGCCUGGGCGACAGAGUGAGACUGUCUCAAAAAAAAAAAGAAAAAAAAACUUCUAAUAAAAAAUUAGAAACCUUGAGAAUUAAAUUCUUUUAUUUCCUUGUAAAAAAAUUGCCAAGAGUAGGCCAGGCGCAGUGGCUCACACCUGUAAUCCCAGCACUUUGGGAGGCCAAGGCGGGCGGAUCAUGAGGAGGAGAUUGAGACCAUCCUGGCUAACACGGUGAAACCCCGUCUCUACUAAAA
rnacentral:sRNA from 1 species